rnacentral:lncRNA from 1 species
AAGUUGAAGUGUUUCCUGAGGCUGGUGUUAUCACUGAGGAACUUUCUCAAUGCAUUGCACUAACUGGAGGUGCUGCAGAGGUUGCUGAUUAUGGUCAUGAUGGAACAAAGACAGAGACCUUCAGAGGGUUUUGUGGCCACAAGUUUCAUGAUGUCUUAAUUGCCCCCAGGAACAGCGGAUCUAAAAGCUGAUGUGGAUUUCAGUUAUUUGCAAAGAAUGGCACAGGGAAAAGUAGCUCUCUGGGCCCAAUAAAACAACCCACAUUUUUUUAAAAUAUGGGUAUCGAUGUCCAGCUGAAGAUUCUUUUAGAUAAAUCAAAUGAGACAUCAAUGAGUCAGCAAUUACUUCAAGGAUAUGAUAUGUUAAUGAAUCCGAAGAAGAUGGGAGAAAGAUUGAACAUUUUUGCCUUGCUACUUCAUCAGAGACUUCAAGGUGGAAGGAAUCAGAUGAAUCUGUGUCAGUCAAAACCCUAUGCAUCUCCUGUAGCUGGAUUUAGUGAAUUUGUUUGGCAG